rfam:Eucalyptus grandis cultivar BRASTZ1 unplaced genomic scaffold scaffold_6, whole genome shotgun sequence.
GAGAGUCAAAUGAAUUGAAAGAUUCAUGUUUGGUUCAGGAAGGGAGUAUGGAAGUUUUGAAAUGAAUGGAAAGAUAAUCUACUUUCAU